AUACGUAGGUGGCAAGCGUUGUCCGGCAUUAUUGGGCGUAAAGCGCGCGCAGGUGGUUCCUUAAGUCUGAUGUGAAAGCCCCCGGCUCAACCGGGGAGGGGCAUUGGACACUGGGGAACUUGAGUGCAGAAGAGGAUAGUGGAAUUCCCAGUGUAGCGGUGAAAUGCGUAGAGAUUUGGAGGAACACCAGUGGCGAAGGCGACUGUCUGGUCUGUAACUGACACUGAGGCGCGAAAGCGUGGGGAGCAAACAGGAUUAGAUACCCUGGUAGUCCACGCCGUAAACGAUGAGUGCUAAGUGUUGGGGGGUUUCCGCCCCUCAGUGCUGCAGCUAACGCAUUAAGCACUCCGCCUGGGGAGUACGGUCGCAAGACUGAAACUCAAAUGAAUUGGCGGGG
rnacentral:rRNA from 1 species